UGUCCCCUCCUCCCCACAGUUGCUGAUACUAUAUUCCAUUAUGUUUAUAAAAAUAUUAAGGGACAUUAGUAUAAGGUGAUUAGGAUAAUAUUUAGUUACUAUUAUAAUAUAUUCUGUUUGAAAUACUAUAACUUAAGAUGUUCCAGACAUUGCACCACAGACUUUAUACAUUGUGGUGGACAAAACAUGGCCAGAAAUUUAUCAACAUUUCUGCAAUUCAGAGGAUACUGAGGCACUGUGAGGUUCACUGAAAGCUGGACUGUGAGGAAGAUUCGGGCCGUCGGACUCCAGACCCCAAGCUCUAACAUACUAUGAGGGCAUCCCAGGAGAAGGCAGAGUCCAGGAGGCGGAUGUUGGGAAGCAAAUCCUGAACUCAUCAAGUCCCAUAGCCCCUUUGUCUAUGGACCUUCUGCCAGCAUCUUCUGUAAGGUACGUUCUUUUACCCAUGGUUGAGUACCACUGUGCACCAUGCUAGGUACUAAGAACAGAUUGAUAAACUAAUAGGCAUGAUCUCUGCCCUCAUGGAGGUUCUAGGUAAGAGAAAGGACUCCCCUUUUCUUGGAGUGCAGAGGCUGGAAGUUAAGAGGUAUAUUCGGCAGAGGCCAGACAGGUGAGUGAAAAUGACAUGUUUAAAGAACUGAAAGAAAGUAACUAUGGCUGAAACAUGACAGGAGAGAGGGGAUGCGGAGAGAAGAGAUUGGAGAGGUAAAUGUAGGUCCCAUAUGCAGGGUCUUCAAAGCAAAGGACACUGAGAACCCAUUGCAAGGUUUUGAGCAGAAGGUGGCAUAAUCAGAUUUGGGUUUUAGAAAGACUACUCUGGCUGCCUUGUGGGGAAGAAAAAAAUGUAUGUAUGGAAUGGGAUAGAGGAGGGGUACUUAAGUUUUAUUAUGUCUGAUGGCACAAUAAUUGAUCCAUCAUCUUGGGUUUAACCCAAGGGUAGUUGGGGAGGUAGGAGAGCAGGAGAAUGUAAUGUCAAAUAUGGCCAUCACUUACUGGCAUUGAGAAAUAUGAGGCAUAGUGCUCAAUAGAUAUUACAUGUGUUUCUUGUGGUGGGCCAACAGUCCCCACCUCCUGCUAUUCACACUCUUAUAUACUCCACUCUUUUUGAGGGUGGACUGGAUCUAGUGACUUCUUUCUAGUGAACAGAAUACAUCAAAAAUAAUGAGAUGUCGCUUCCACACUU
rnacentral:lncRNA from 1 species